GCCUGGGGCCUGGACGAGGGUUUUCCCCGGGUUCUUCGGAGCUCUGAGGUCACCGUGGGACUCGGGUGGAGGCUCUCCUGCGGUCACCUGGGGCC
ensembl:miRNA eca-mir-8924-1 eca-mir-8924-1